rnacentral:misc_RNA from 1 species
UCUUGUAAAUGUCAUAAGUCAGUUCAGUGUUUCACUGAGCUUUA